GACAGAGGGUGCAAACGUUGUUCGGAAUUACUGGGCGUAAAGCGAGUGUAGGCGGUUCGGUAAGUCGGAUGUGAAAGCCCCGGGCUCAACCCGGGAAGUGCACUCGAUACUGCCGAGCUAGAGUAUCGGAGAGGUUGGUGGAAUUCUCGGUGUAGAGGUGAAAUUCGUAGAUAUCGAGAGGAACACCGAUGGCGAAGGCGGCCAACUGGACGAAUACUGACGCUGAGACUCGAAAGCGUGGGGAGCAAACAGG
rnacentral:rRNA from 1 species